CGCACACACUGGUUAUAAAUCUGCAUGUCUGAUGCGUUGUUAAGGUAUUGUUAAAGGGAUGGUGUUUGUUGUACUCUCUUCAGCACAUGAAUCCAUCAGACGCCUCUGAUGAUCGCUCACCUUGGCCAUGUGGAAAUCUCCACCUCCAAUACCACAGCCGACAUCCAGCACCUUCUGUCCGGGGGUCAAGUUCAACAUCUCCACAAACUCCUGUGCUGGGUCCUCCUGUGCUGACGUAUCCAGAGCCGAACAUCUUCUCAUAGCGUAGGAUUCCUCUGCGGGUGUACUGCUGGUUAUCCAGAAACUGCUGGAAGGUGGAGAAUCCGCCCUGAUGCUGCUCGACCACAUCACGCCGAACCUUCUGCAGGAUCCAACACAGCUGAUUCUGAUUCUUCUUCAUCUGGAACAUGACGAGUUCUCCAUGAAGUCCACUGCGGUCACGUGACGGGCCUUGCCAAUGAGGUGACGCGUGUAACGGCUGCAAAGGUCAGAGGUCACGAUGACAAUAGAGCAAAAACAACACGUUUUACACAAACACACGGAUGAAGAAAACAAUCACUACAGAAAUGUAAACUCACUAUGAAAGCUCAUCACUAUAUGUACUCAUUCAAUAUUUAAUUUAAUUACCAUAAUUACUGAAAAGUGAAAAAUAUUUUUGUACAUUAAAUUGUUCAUGUUUGCUAAUGAUAAUGUUUUAACCAACAUUGAAUGACACGAGGUGCAUAAAAUGCACUGUAAAUCCAUACGGCGGUUUAUGCAUCUCCCUAGGUGCCUAAACUUCAGUUUGGGGUUUAAUGUCACCUGGACGUGACCAUUUUUGCCUAAAUGUCAGUUUGACAGAGAUGGGUCUAAAUGUA